rnacentral:rRNA from 1 species
GACGAACGCUGGCGGCGUGCUUAACACAUGCAAGUCGAACGGAAAGGCCCUGCUUUUGUGGGGUGCUCGAGUGGCGAACGGGUGAGUAACACGUGAGUAACCUGCCCUUGACUUUGGGAUAACUUCAGGAAACAGGGGCUAAUACCGGAUAGGAGCUCCUGCUGCAUGGUGGGGGUUGGAAAGUUUCGGCGGUUGGGGAUGGACUCGCGGCUUAUCAGCUUGUUGGUGGGGUAGUGGCUUACCAAGGCUUUGACGGGUAGCCGGCCUGAGAGGGUGACCGGCCACAUUGGGACUGAGAUACGGCCCAGACUCCUACGGGAGGCAGCAGUGGGGAAUAUUGCACAGUGGGCGGAAGCCUGAUGCAGCAACGCCGCGUGCGGGAUGACGGCCUUCGGGUUGUAAACCGCUUUCGCCUGUGACGAAGCGUGAGUGACGGUAAUGGGUAAAGAAGCACCGGCUAACUACGUG